rnacentral:rRNA from 1 species
UACGUAGGGGGCGAGCGUUGUCCGGAAUCAUUGGGCGUAAAGAGCGUGUAGGCGGCCAGGUAGGUCUGGUGUGAAAACUCGAGGCUUAACCUCGAGAUGUCAUCGGAAACCAUCUGGCUAGAGUCCGGAAGAGGAGAGUGGAAUUCCUGGUGUAGCGGUGAAAUGCGCAGAUAUCAGGAAGAACACCAAUGGCGAAAGCAGCUCUCUGGGACGGUACUGACGCUGAGACGCGAAAGCGUGGGGAGCGAACAGG